CCUCCUCUUUCUCUCUAUCUCUCUUUCUCACUCUCUCCCUCUCUCAUCUCUCACUCAGAGCAUUCCGUUCAGCAGAGCGCUACAACAGAGUAGAGUGUGCGUUUGCUGUGUGUGGUGUGUGUGUUCAGAGCUGCGAUCGCAGUGAAAACAGAAAGAGAGAGAGAGAAAGAGAGAGAGAUACUGAAAAAGAGGUAGAGUGAGUGAGAAAAAGAGAGAUAGAGAGACAUCCAGAGGCAGGACUGAGCGGACUGAGAGAAAGCAACACUCCUCACCACCGUGAGUACUGUACUCUGUAUUCAUGCUUCCCUCCAUUCACUCUCACUGAGGCGGCUGCUUUCUGACUAACUGGCUGGGCUGUGUGCCGUAUAGUAGACAGGUGGACAGUUUGCUCAGCAGACGGCUGGAGAGGGGGAAGAAACGCGUGGAAAGACGCACAGGAUCACUUUUAAAUUGUUGUCUGGAAUCACAUGGUGCUCAUAGUGUGAGGCUGCAGGACGUUGCUGUGUGAACAAGUGUGUGAGUGACAUUCGAGAACAGAAAUGUGACUUUAAUUUGUGCGUGAACGCUUGACAAACCUGCAGUUAAGUCUGGUUUUCUGCAGUGCAAAUUUCUGUUUCGUGUUUGCUUGAUUUUUGCAACUUAAAGCUUCUCAACUUGGUCAUGUGUUUGUUACACUUGCAAGCUUUUCCCCUCAUGCUACUAUUUCAGUUUUGCACACCAACUGUGGCGUUUUAAGUGGCAUUAAAUACUCAAGAUGACAUUACUGGUCCGCUGACAUGCAUCCACCUGCACCCUUCACAAUGAGUGAGCUCCAGAUCAGCGCCCACACUGCUGACCAGACAAAUUCCUCAAUGUGGUGUGUUUUAUUUUUUGCUGUUUCUGUCAUCUGCCCUCCUCUUUAACAGGAGGAUCUUUUAGCUUAUUUUUUCUCCAUUUUACACACUAGAGUAUUUCUGUUUCUGGCCAUGCAGGUGUGAUGUUUAGACACUUUAUGUAUGGUGGUAUUUCCCAGCACCCGUUCAGAAACACAUCUCUACACUCCCCCACUCAGCAGCACCAAAAGCAGAAGGAAGGCUUGAAUCACUUACUGUAACAGUCUCUCCACAGCGAGAUGAGAUUUGUUCAUUUCAGUGUUUGCACUUCUCUCAGAGAGUGUUAAAAGCGAGAAUAUACCAGAGGCGUAUUGUUAAACGCAGUGUUGAUGCUGAGGACAGCAGAGAGAGGAGGUUAGGAGGGAGGCGGGCGAGGAGAGAACUAAAAAAGAGGGAUUAUGAUAACUUCUUAAAAAGAGGGAUUAUGAUAACUGCUGCCAUUUCUUUUAUUUUUCUUUUUUUUCUCCCCUUCUUCACUCACAGUAAUUAUUUCUGGAAAGCCGUUUUCUUUCUUCUGGCUUCUCUGUGGCUUUUGUCAGCUCUGUUUCCCUUUCAUCAGAUGCCAUGAAGUCAAAAUUAAAUGCAGCCACAGGAUUGUGAAAAAUGUUCCAGCUCAGUGUUCGUGUCGUGCUGGCUGACAUUUAAGAUGCUUCAUUUAAUGCAUCUACUUAAACGUCAGCAAACUGUGAUUUCGCUUGUUCAUGACAGUCACGGUUUUACUGAUUUAUCUGACAUCAAAGGAUUCAGAAUCUGUUACAUUUUAGAUAUCAUCACAGUCUGCGCAUUUAUUUUGAAAACCUCCUUCUCUUGGGUAAUAACAGGUGUGAGAUAAUAUAUGGUGUUCCCCGAGGGGAAUUUUGCCCUGGGUGACAGCGUUCCUUUCCCACAACAAAUAUCCAAAAUUGCAUUCAGUAAACACGACACAUAACCAACAAAAGAGAAACAGAUUUUCCUGAAUGUUGCAAAACCUUUUUGAGCAAAAGUGUCAAAUGCAUAUAUAUUUGCAAGUCAGAGAGGUUUCUUCAGGUGAUCAGAAUAAAAUAUCUAGAUACAGACGGUAGCAUUACCUGCAGGUUAAAUCAGGGCUGGGUCAGACACAGGACCAAUGCAGUGACAACCUCUCAACGCUGCAUCAAAACUUAAAUCCUGGUGAGAGUUUUUGUUUUAUAUUUGGUUUUAAAAAAAGGUUUUAUUUGGCUGACUUUAAGGCACAGUCACCUAACAAGUCCCGAAAGUAGCCAUAUUCCAAGAUAUGGAAAAAAUUAUGACUCUAACUCCUGGAAAUGAGUGGAAAAAAUAUGCAAAUGAAAUAAGAAAAACUCAGUUUUUUUUUCUGUUCCAUCGGCAGAUUCCUUUUUUUCCAGACAUUACAUAUAAUUUACGUCUUGAAAUGCACUUUUUCUGGACUUUUUCAGUGAAUGUUACCUAAAUCAAGCCUAUUAAGAUUUUUUACCAGACAUAAGACAAACUUAUCUGCUAAAAUCUGAGGGUUUUUGGCAAGUCCCAAAUUAAGAAGCUAAUUUUAACAUGUACUGUAAAGGUAAAACCUUGAAGUGCUUUCAACAAAGGUUACUUCUACUAGUCUGCUGUGAGAUCUUUCUAAGAAGUUACACAUGCAAGUCACUCUCUCUUCAUAGAUGCAUUACUUUAAGAAUAUGGAUGAGUUCAAUUCAAGCUAUCGUUAUAAAAUUCAGAAUAUUGCAUGAGACUGUUCGCCAAAAGGUGGCCAAGCUCAUACAUCAUACUUAUUUGGACAAGAAUCCAUGUUUCCUUCUGCACAGAUACAGUGUAUUUGCUGUGUGUGUGAGAUAGAGAGUCACUAAAGGUGUUUUCCUGGGGGAUCAGGGAACAUUAGCUGGGGACCACCAGGCUCUGGAGGGACAUGUGUGUGUGUGUUGGCGUGUUGGUAAGAUAUCUGGGGCUUUUGUCGGGAUUUACUCUCACAAUAAGGAUUUAGAGGGUGACAUUCGGGCCGGGUGUGUCUACAUCAAAGAAGCUUCACAGCAUGAGGCAGAGGCAGCGAUGCAUCAGGACACACUGCUGCUGUGUGGAGGCAGGGCGCAGAGAAAGUUGGCUUUAUUGUUUUUUUAAAAGGAGAACGGGAUCCAGGCUUUGUGUUUUGAUACGUGUAGAAGCAUGGCGAUGGACUGCUGGGCUCAUCCAUGCGUGUUUGAACAUAUUUAACUUCUCUGUUUAUUAUAACCACGUCAAAUCAGAGUAACGUAAAAAAUCCCAGACACUCACUCUCCAUAAAACCUCAGAAUAUCAGCGUGUCUUUAUAUAUGAGGUUCUCACACAGCCUCACUGUGAGGGUCAAGUACCGGCCCUGAUAGACAAAAGCUUUAAUGAUUUGUGUCUGCUGAUGAAUGCGUCAGAAAAUAAAGGGAUAUUGUGUUUUUGUGAUGCUGUAUUGACUUCUCUAAAAACUAUCAGAGCCCAAUUAAAUGCAAAGACUGCUAAUGAACUGUGUUAGUGUUAAUUACCUUCCUCUGACUGCACAAACAAUAAUGUUUCAUAGACUGAUGCAAAUGUUCUCACUGCUUGAAAAUAAGACUGCAUGCAGAGUCUUCAUGGAGGAAUUUCUCCUCAGGGGUCCAUUGGGUAGAAAUGGGAUUUUUAGCAUAUCUAGUGAUCAGAAUUGAGAUUGUAAUGCCCCCUUACCCACCCUUCUGGUCCAUGAGGUGACAGUGGUCUUUGAGGAUAGGAAGCUCCUGUGACACGUUUGUCAUUAGACAAGUUUUAACCAUAAAAAAGUAAAUGACAAAACAAUAACCACUCAUGUCAUCUUCUUCCUUUAACACAUACAUUUCCACAAAUACAAGUAGACGCGUGUAACUAGUUGGUCUGUAUGUUCAUGUUUCCGAGAGUUUUAUUGGUUUUUAUUGAGAUUGUAACGCGUAGCUUCGUCUUAUGAUUGUUUUUCGUAAUCAGAUGACUAAGGUGACCAGAUUUAUGAUAUAAAAUCUGGGGAUGUGUGUGUGUGUGUGCGUGUGUGUGUGUUAGGCGCUUCUUGGACUGUUGUUCAGUAGGACUGCAUGCGGGCUACUUGUUCACUUGUGCUUCCUACCUACACGGCUUCUGUAAAAACAGUUGUUCUUGUCAACACGCAGCAUUUUUUUUUUUUACGUCAUUCAGGAAACGCUCAAAUCGGGGACAGCUGUUGCUAGGAACAGGUCAUCCAAAAUGGGGACUAAAUCGUGAAUGCCUGGUCACCCUAGACUAAGUGGUCAUCAUCAGCUUGCUGCACAAAAUAUUUACUCACUGUAUGAAAAAGUUAACCCGGACCUGAACCUACUUGUUUUUUUUUUUUACCUCAGGAAGGUGGUGGCUUUUAUGAAUGGGGAUCUGCUCCUAUGUAGAUGUAAAGGCUAAUAUGCAUCUUUGCAGAUCCAACAAUCAGAGGCCCUUAACGUUAGAUAAAUAAGACCUCAACUUUUGCAAAGAGGCAUGGCGCACAGAUUCAGCACAGUCUCUCAAAGCACGGCAGAGAUAGGUUUGUACCAUGUAGUUUGAGUAUGUGAAAGAAAAUCUACGUUUUGUGGUGAAUUUUUGAGGGACUGUGUGAGAGUGCUAACUAAAAAAAAGUGGCAAAUAACAUUUCUAGUGACAAUUUUUCACCAAAACAAUGCUAAUACUGGCCACUGGCUCUGCAAUUUCGACAAGAACUUCUCAGUUUCGUGACUCUAUCUGCGCUCUGAAAAUGAUGGUUUGGAGCGCGAAGAGCCAAAGUGCACUAAAGCUGAGACGACAACAAAAACGCUUUUUCGUGAAAAGCCCAGCGUCCUGGUGCACGCCAAAACAGACAGAACUCCAUUAUCAAAAUGAUGGAUACCACCUUAUCAAUAACCCUGGUGUUGAUAUGUGAUCACACACUGUAGUUGCAGCCUUUUUUAUCGUCUGUAUCUACCCCAAACUUGA